rnacentral:lncRNA from 1 species
GGUGUCUCUGCUGGAAAUGCAGAGAGCGAUGCAGGUUAGAUAGCAGAUACUUUUAUUUUGGUAGUUUUCAUUCUCUUUCUGGUUUAUUUUUUCCCUAGCUGUCUAACAUCACAAAUUAGCAAGAUUAAGGGAAAUGAAAAACCAGCAUUUUUUUUCCUGUCUGUGUCAACAGUACAGGAAUUUUUGUCCAGAGAGGAGCAGCAAGACAAGAUAUUUGUGAUUUCAAAUCACUUUCUGCAGUGAGAAAACACCUACAUGAGCCCCUGAACAGGGAUUCCCUCCCAGCACCCUGCAUCUCAUGUAACUGCAACUUCAUUCUGGAGUCAGCUGAUACACAAAAUCACACAGAGGAUGACUGAUGUGACCCUAAUCCAGCUGUAGUCAGUGAGAUCUUCCUUGACUUCUCUUCUCUUGAGGUCUGAGGCUUUGUAUUGAAUGAGCUGCUUCACUCAGGAUGCUGAAAACCACCUCCAAAUACUGAAAUAUGGUCCCUCCUGGAAGCUCAUGUCUGCUGGUUUGAGCCAUCUUCUGUGAAAUGCUACUGAUCACAAGGGUGAUCAGCACACGUGACAAGGGUGAUGCUAGGACAGCUUUACAGGGCUAAGAUGGAACUAAUUACUGCCAUCAGAAACCAAAGUAAUAUUUAACUUGACAUUUGAUGGUAGCACAACUGAACUCUGCUUCCUCAAGCUUAUGUAAAGUUUCCUUGAUCAUGAAGUUACCAGUUUUAUGCUGUUGUUCCAAUCAUCCCUGAGAAUCUGUAAUCUUCAAGCCCAUCAGCCAUAG